UACGGAGGUGGCAAGCGUUGCUCGGAAUCACUGGGCGUAAAGGGCGCGUAGGCGGGGAGGUAAGUCGGGUGUGAAAUCCCUCGGCCCAACUGAGGAACUGCGCCCGAGACUGCUUCUCUUGAGUCCCGGAGAGGAAGAUGGAAUUCCCGGUGUAGCGGUGAAAUGUGUAGAGAUCGGGAGGAACACCGGUGGCGAAGGCGGUUCUCUGGGCCUUACCUGACGCUGAGGAGCGAAAGCGUGGGGAGCGAACAGG
rnacentral:rRNA from 1 species